AACCUGCGUAGAUCCUGAACUGUACCUGGGUGGGGCUGGUUGCAGAGGAAGGACACUCUUCCACUUGGUCCCCUGCCCCACCCCACAGGGAGGGCUGCAGCUGCCCCCUUAGUGACACCAGCACCAGCGAUGUAGGGAGUGGCCUGGCUGUACCUGCUGCUUUCUCUGGGCUGACGAGUCUCAAAACAGACCCGUGCCUGUUUCCCAUUGGUUAACUUUUAUUGGAACAAGAACCUUCCCAAAAGAAUGCUUCUAGGGCAUCAGUAAAAAUAGAUGUUGAAAAAGUGAUAAUAUUCACGCAGAACUUUGCUGCCGAAUUCCAAUUCUUUCCUGGGAACAGAGUUAAUGUUAAAAGGUCAUGAGACCAUACGUAACAUUAAAUAAAGUUUGUCAGUUUUCUCCUUUAAAUGAGAGACUUACUUCAACCAGAAGUUCAAUUUCUCUAAUGUAAAAAUUAGAGGGAAAUCAGCAAUACUGUGAUCUGUCUGGAUACAAUUCACCUGAAGUCUUUGGAAUGUGGUUUUUUUUUUUUUUUUGGCUUUUUAGGGCUGCCCCCACGGCACAUGGAGGUUCCCAGGCUAGGGGUUGAAUCAGAGCUACAGCUACCGGCCUAUGCCACAGCCACUCAGGAUUCAAGCCCCAUCUGCGACCUACACCAUAGCUCAUGGCAAUGCUAGAUCCUUAAUCCAUUGAGCAAGGCCAGGAAUCGAACCUGCAACCUCAUGGUUCCUAGUCAGAUUCAUUUCCACUGUGCCACCAUGGGAACCCCUUACUUCAUUUUCUUUACCCACUGAGAGGGAAGACAGCAAAAAUAUCCUUGAAAUCAAUGGAGUUAUUUAGGGAAGCCCAUAGAAGAGAAAGAAUUUUAUUUUUUUAUUUAUUGUUAUUUUUAAUAACAAAAGCAAAUCAUGCUUAUUAUUUUAAAAUGUAAAUAAUAUAGAGGAGUAUGUAAAGCAAACGUGCAAGUAACUUCUCUCAGUUUCCUCAUGCAAUUCCCCAGGGAUAGUUAACAACUACUGUCAAAAUUUUGGUCUUGAGAGUUCCCUGAUGGUCCAGUGGUUAUAAUUCAGUGCAUUCACCACUGCAGCCCAGGUUCAAUCCCUGGUCUGGGAACUGAGAUCCCACAUUAAGGUGCUGCUUACCUUGGUGGAAAAAAAAAAAAAUUUGGUCUUCAUCUGUUUAGAUCUUUUUCCAUGCACAUUCUAACACACACACUCACACACCACCAGAAUAUCAUGAAGACUGAAAAAAAAAACUUUCAUUGGGUUAUUACUUAGAAUAAAUUGUGCAAAUAUCAAGUGUAAACAGCAUCAUGAGUUUUAUGUGUGUAUAUAUCAUUGAGACCUUUUGUAACCCACAAAAAUGAAAUUAUAUCAAUUACAGUUUGCUACAGUUUUGUUUUUUUGGUUUUAUUUUUCCCUGAUCAGUGGCAUGCAUAAUUUCUGGGGCCAGAAGAUCGAACCUAAGAGACAGCGGCAACCUGAGCCAUAGCAGUGACAAUACCAGAUCCCUAACCCACUAGGGAACUCUUUUAUAUAUAUAUAUAUAAAUCUCAACAAUAUUGUGAUAGUUCUUCCACAUGGGACAUAGACAUCUAACUUAUUCUUUUCAUGGUGGCAUAGUAUUCUGUAGUAUGAAUUUCAGUAUAAUCUUUCCUAGUUGAUGAAUAGUUAGACUGUCCCAUUUUUUGCUGUUACGUGUUAUUAGAUUGUAAAACUUUAAGGGGACUUUUUUUUUCUUUAUGAAAGAAUAAUAUGGGCUUAACAUAAAACAUGGAACAUUUCAGAAAUGUAUGGCUCAGGAAGCAAAAGUCCUCCAUAACCCUCUCUCAGAAGCCAUGAAUGCAGAUGCUCUUCUCUGUGUCCCACACAUACAUCCUCUAUGUUGUGUCGUCUCUGUAAACUCCCGGAGAAACAAAUAAGGUUAUACCAUGUAUCAUGUUUGCUGCUGAGGCCAUGCUGGGUCCUAAUUUCCUUCCCAGCAGUGAAGGGACUGGGCCCUUUUAAGCUAUAGACUAUGAGCACCACCAAGUCCUCAGGCAUGGGGACUUCAUUCAGCUGUCCACGUCGCCCUGUCUCAUAGUCCUUAGACCCUCACCUGUUCCUCCAGGGCGAUGGGGUGUGCUCUGAGCCUGCCAGAAGCCACCCACCCUUUGCUGAUAACACUGUCAUCCUAGCCACAGCGUUCACGGCAAGAGCAGUGGUGGAGGACUCUUGGGAACCCAUCUCAGCCUCACAGAAACUGAAUUUGUAGACGUCUCUCAAGGGAAAAAGGAUACCUGGGACCAGUUUUUUUACAGUACUGCUUUUCUCAGAAAAGUGAUCAUCAUAUCAUAGCUAAAUUUUUUUUUUUUUUCUUUUUCGGCUGCCCUGCACCAUGGAGUUCCUUGGCCAAGGAUCAGAUCCGAGCCCCAGUUUUGACCUACACUGCAGCUGCGGCAACACCGGAUCCUUAACCCACUGCCUGACAAGGGAUCUUGCUGUUUGUUUGUUUGUUUAAGGGCUCUUCUGUCUUCCCCCAAAACUUGUGAGUAUAAAGAAGGUUUUCUUGAGCUGCUUUACUUGGCCAGUCAUUCAUGAAUUCACUCAACAAUUGUCUUUGAUACGCCAGGCACUGAGGACUCAAAGAGGAACAAAAGAGACAAUAUCUCUGCUCUGCAGAAACUGACAGUCUAUUGAAUGACAUAGUUGUCCAGCAAAGUGUGAUUAAUCUCUGAUGGCAGGACUCUACUCCAAGGGCACCUAACCUAGUCUGGGGCGACUGGUCAGGAAAACUUCCCGAAAGAUGAUUUUUAGGCUAAACCAGUCUGCCGACAAACCUAAGACAGUUAUAGGAGUCAGGUGGCAAAGUUAGCAUCAUUUCUUUAGUUAGCAAUUCUUCCAAAGUAAGGCAUGAAUAUAGGGCCAGGUCCCAACAAUAUAAUAAAUGCUGGUAGGCAGGACACAGCCCAAAUUAUAUAUAACAAGAGAGAGUGGCUAUGCAAAAAGAAUGUAAAAUCGAGUACAGUUCUUUUGGUAAACCACUGUUCUGAUUGUUGAUCAUGAAAAAAUGAGCUACUUCAAACUCACAAAGUCUAAUUUUCCUAGGAAAUAGUUUACUUCAAAUAGCCUCGAACAGCGGUACUAUCUUACAGUCUGGAAUGUUUGGGGAUGUUCUUAUGUUUUAAAUCUACUCCUUAGAAAAUAUCACAAAAAGGCAUCAUACUGAUGCAGCUAAAAAAUCAAUUCCUGAUUUACCUAAUCCUCCUUACUCAGUUAUUAUGAUCAUUUUGUCUUUUUGUCUUUUUAGGGCCGCACCCGCAGUGUGUGGAGGUUCCCAGGCUAGGGGUCAAAUAGGAGCUGUAGCUGCCAGCCUACACCACAGCCACCGCAACGCCAGAUACAAGCUGGGUCUGUGACCUACACUAUCAUAGCUCACUGCAAGGCAGGAUCCUCAACCGACUGAGCAAGGCCAGGGAUCGAACCGAAACCUCAAGGUUCCUAGUUGAUUCAUUUCCACUGCGCCAUGAUAGGAACUCCUCCUCAGUUAUUCUAAUGAGACACAAAGAACUCUCCUACAGGGUUGCCGAGAUCCAAAAAUAGGGAGUUCCCAAAUUAUUUGUGCUUACUCUUUACUCAGCCCACAGCAAUCCUCUGCCUAUUUAUGUUAAUGAGAUUGUCCUCCUUAUUUAAUCGCAGCUUUCAGCUCUGGAAACACCUUAGCCCAGGGAAAGCCUUUAAAUACCAUGGAGCUUGUAGUAUUGGGUUAACAACCAAGAGUGGAAAUCAAACUCCAAGACUCUUCCAUGUGCUCACGAUUUCAGCAGGACAAUGGAAGGUAAACUGAGGCUCUAAGAUCCAUGUAGGAUAAGUGGGAGAAAAAAAAUCACCGCAAGGAGAUAUCUAUCACAUAGGAAGAUCUAAAAAUUCUGCCAACUCUUAACAUUUUAAUAUUGUUUUAUUUUAUUUUAUUUGUUUUGUCUUUUUGCUAUUUCUUGGGCUGCUCCCGUGGCAUAUGGAGGUUCCCAGGCUAGGGGUCCAAUCAGCCUACGCCAGAGCCACAGCAACUCGGGAUCCGAGCUGCGUCUGCGACCUACACCACAGCUCACGGCAACGCCGGAUCGUUAACCCACUGAGCAAGGGCAGGGACCGAACCUGAAACCUCAUGGUUCCUAGUCGGAUUCGUGAACCACUGUGCCACGACCGGAACUCCUUAUUUUAAAUACAUACAUUUGCAUAUAGUAAAAUCCUGGACCUUUAAUUUUUGAGGUUUUUUUUUUCUAUUUUAUAAUGAUUUUUAUUUGAGUUUUGACAGCUGAUUAUACGUACUUGUAUAACCUCCACCCAAAACAAUACGUAGAACAUUCUGUUAUCCCAGAAAAUAUCUUCAGUCCCUUUCAUGUUAAUUCGCCUCCUUAACAACAGCACUUUUUUGACUUCAGACACCAAAAAUUAGUUUGUCUGUUUCUGGAAUUCACAUAAAUGGAAUUGUACUGUUCAUAUUCUUUUGUAUCCCUUCUCUUUUGCCGAAUUGCUUUAAGAUUCAUCUAUGUUGUUGCAUCAGUGGUUCAUCCUUUUUUCUGUUCUUGUAGAAUUCCAUUGUAUGACUUGCCAUAAUUUGCCUUCCCACUAUCCUGCUGGUGGCUGUCUGGGCUGUCUCCACCUUGGGCUAUAAAGGAAUAAGGCUAUU
rnacentral:lncRNA from 1 species